AUUGAACGCUGGCGGCAGGCUUAACACAUGCAAGUCGAGCGGGGGAAGGUAGUUUGCUACUGGACCUAGCGGCGGACGGGUGAGUAAUGCUUAGGAAUCUGCCUAUUAGUGGGGGACAACAUCUCGAAAGGGAUGCUAAUACCGCAUACGUCCUACGGGAGAAAGCAGGGGAUCUUCGGACCUUGCGCUAAUAGAUGAGCCUAAGUCGGAUUAGCUAGUUGGUGGGGUAAAGGCCUACCAAGGCGACGAUCUGUAGCGGGUCUGAGAGGAUGGUCCGCCACACUGGGACUGAGACACGGCCCAGACUCCUACGGGAGGCAGCAGUGGGGAAUAUUGGACAAUGGGGGGAACCCUGAUCCAGCCAUGCCGCGUGUGUGAAGAAGGCCUUAUGGUUGUAAAGCACUUUAAGCGAGGAGGAGGCUACUCUAGUUAAUACCUAGGGAUAGUGGACGUUACUCGCAGAAUAAGCACCGGCUAACUCUGUGCCAGCAGCCGCAGUAA
rnacentral:rRNA from 1 species